rnacentral:rRNA from 1 species
AUACGGAGGAUGCAAGCGUUAUCCGGAUUUAUUGGGUUUAAAGGGUUCGUAGGCGGAAAAUUAAGUCAGUGGUGAAAGCCUGCAGCUCAACUGCAGAACUGCCAUUGAUACUGAUUUUCUUGAAUUUAUAUGAAGUGGGCGGAAUGCGUCAUGUAGCGGUGAAAUGCACAGAUAUGUCGCAGAACACCAAUUGCGAAGGCAGCUCACUAAUGUAAUAUUGACGCUGAGGAACGAAAGCAUGGGGAGCGAACAGGAUUAGAAACCCUAGUAGUCC